rnacentral:rRNA from 1 species
AUUGAACGCUGGCGGCAGGCCUAACACAUGCAAGUCGAGCGGAUGAAGGGAGCUUGCUCCUGGAUUCAGCGGCGGACGGGUGAGUAAUGCCUAGGAAUCUGCCUUGUAGUGGGGGAUAACGUCCGGAAACGGGCGCUAAUACCGCAUACGUCCUGAGGGAGAAAGUGGGGGAUCUUCGGACCUCACGCUAUCAGAUGAUCCUAGGUCGGAUUAGCUAGUUGGUGGGGUAAAGGCCUACCAAGGCGACGAUCCGUAACUGGUCUGAGAGGAUGAUCAGUCACCCUGGAACUGAACCACGGUCCAGACUCCUACGGGAGGCAGCAGUGGGGAAUGUUGGACAAUGGGCGAAAGCCUGAUCCAGCCAUGCCGCGUGUGUGAAGAAAGUCUUCGGAUUGUAAAGCACUUUAGGUUGGGAGGAAGGGCAGUAAGUUAAUACCUUGCUGUGUUGACGGUACCAACAGAAUAAGCACCGGCUAACUUCGUG